ACAGGCACCAGUUAAGCGAGGAAAUGCAGUGAACACACUACACAGCACAAUCACUUUUGUUCUCAAGAAAGAAUAGGUGGAAAGGACAGCCAAAGAAGAGAAUACAGGCAAAACCAUAAGAACUGGUUGGAGUAGAUACUAUUCCAGUCCUUGUUGGCCCUGUGUCCUACUUGUUGCUGUCUAAACCUGCAAAGGGUGUCGAGAAGAACUUCUCUCUCCUCUCCCUUCUUGAAAAAAUCCUUCCUAUCUACAAGGAAGUGAUCUCUGAGCUUAAAGCAGCUGGUGCUUCCUAGAUUCAGUUUGAUGAGCCCACCAUUGUAUUGGAUCUUGAUUCUCAUAAAUUGAAAGCAUUCACUGAUGCCUACUCUGAGCUAUAAUCAUCUUGAUCUGGAUUGAAUGUUCUCAUUGGGACCUCCUUUGCUGAUAUUCUUGCUGAGGCAUUCAAGACACUAACUGCUUUGAAGGGUGUCACUGCUUUUGGAUUUGAUUUGAUUGCAAAAAGAAGAGGCACUAUAAGUUUGUGUAAUCAAAACAAGUGAAGUUGGUGAAAAACUUAAGGAACAUAGCUAAAAGUGAAUGAGUAAAGAUGAUUGUUGUUGAGUUGGUCCAACCCCAACUGGUCAAAGUAGCAAGACUGCUCUCACGGACAGUGAAAUACGAUCAACUCAAGCAAGGGACAACGAAGUUGCACAAUUGAAGGCUUCGUUGGCUAUUAUGGAGGAGAAACUAGCAGGUUUUGACGAAAUGAAAGGAAAACUUUGUCAAUUUGAAGAAAUGGAGUAAAGAAUGGAGCAAAGAAUGGCUCGCAUGUUUCAACAAAUGCAACAAACUACACAAUGCAAUCAGGAUGCUCCUCUGAUCGAACAAUCUCCAGCUCUCCCCAAAUCAUCAGCCGCAUCUUAUCAACCAAGAAGCUUAUAAGUUUUAUCUUGGAGUUCUUGGACUUUUUUGUGUACAGAGAACUAUGGAAGAACAACCGCAUUUCUUGCAAGUGUUGAAAGACAUUUUUAAACACUUUAGAAUUUUGAUUAUAGUAUUAGAUUAAUUUCAGCAGUUGUUUUAUUCAA